UAGGGCGGGACACGUGGUAUCCUGUCUUAAUAUGGGGGGACCAUCCUCCAAGGCUAAAUACUCCUGACUGACCGAUAGUGAACCAGUACCGUGAGGGAAAGGCGAAAAGAACCCCGGCGAGGGGAGUGAAAAAGUACCUGAAACCGUGUACGUACAAGCAUUGGGAGCACGCUUAUGCGUGUGACUGCGUACCUUUUGUAUAAUGGGUCAGCGACUUAUAUUCUGUAGCAAGGUUAACCGAAUAGGGGAGCCGAAGGGAAACCGAGUCUUAACUGGGCGUUAAGUUGCAGGGUAUAGACCCGAAACCCGGUGAUCUAGCCAUGGGCAGGUUGAAGGUUGGGUAACACUAACUGGAGGACCGAACCGACUAAUGUUGAAAAAUUAGCGGAUGACUUGUGGCUGGGGGUGAAAGGCCAAUCAAACCGGGAGAUAGCUGGUUCUCCCCGAAAGCUAUUUAGGUAGCGCCUCGUGAAUUCAUCUCCGGGGGUAGAGCACUGUUUCGGCAAGGGGGUCAUCCCGACUUACCAACCCGAUGCAAACUGCGAAUACCGGAGAAUGUUAUCACGGGAGACACACGGCGGGUGCUAACGUCCGUCGUGAAGAGGGAAACAACCCAGACCGCCAGCUAAGGUCCCAAAGUCAUGGUUAAGUGGGAAACGAUGUGGGAAGGCCCAGACAGCCAGGAUGUUGGCUUAGAAGCAGCCAUCAUUUAAAGAAAGCGUAAUAGCUCACUGGUCGAGUCGGCCUGCGCGGAAGAUGUAACGGGGCUAAACCAUGCACCGAAGCUGCGGCAGCGACGCUGAUGCGUUGUUGGGUAGGGGAGCGUUCUGUAAGCCUGUGAAGGUGUACUGUGAGGUAUGCUGGAGGUAUCAGAAGUGCGAAUGCUGACAUAAGUAACGAUAAAGCGGGUGAAAAGCCCGCUCGCCGGAAGACCAAGGGUUCCUGUCCAACGUUAAUCGGGGCAGGGUGAGUCGACCCCUAAGGCGAGGCCGAAAGGCGUAGUCGAUGGGAAACAGGUUAAUAUUCCUGUACUUGGUGUUACUGCGAAGGGGGGACGGAGAAGGCUAUGUUGGCCGGGCGACGGUUGUCCCGGUUUAAGCGUGUAGGCUGGUUUUCCAGGCAAAUCCGGAAAAUCAAGGCUGAGGCGUGAUGACGAGGCACUACGGUGCUGAAGCAACAAAUGCCCUGCUUCCAGGAAAAGCCUCUAAGCAUCAGGUAACAUCAAAUCGUACCCCAAACCGACACAGGUGGUCAGGUAGAGAAUACCAAGGCGCUUGAGAGAACUCGGGUGAAGGAACUAGGCAAAAUGGUGCCGUAACUUCGGGAGAAGGCACGCUGAUAUGUAGGUGAAGUCCCUCGCGGAUGGAGCUGAAAUCAGUCGAAGAUACCAGCUGGCUGCAACUGUUUAUUAAAAACACAGCACUGUGCAAACACGAAAGUGGACGUAUACGGUGUGACGCCUGCCCGGUGCCGGAAGGUUAAUUGAUGGGGUUAGCGCAAGCGAAGCUCUUGAUCGAAGCCCCGGUAAACGGCGGCCGUAACUAUAACGGUCCUAAGGUAGCGAAAUUCCUUGUCGGGUAAGUUCCGACCUGCACGAAUGGCGUAAUGAUGGCCAGGCUGUCUCCACCCGAGACUCAGUGAAAUUGAACUCGCUGUGAAGAUGCAGUGUACCCGCGGCAAGACGGAAAGACCCCGUGAACCUUUACUAUAGCUUGACACUGAACAUUGAGCCUUGAUGUGUAGGAUAGGUGGGAGGCUUUGAAGUGUGGACGCCAGUCUGCAUGGAGCCGACCUUGAAAUACCACCCUUUAAUGUUUGAUGUUCUAACGUGGACCCGUAAUCCGGGUUGCGGACAGUGUCUGGUGGGUAGUUUGACUGGGGCGGUCUCCUCCUAAAGAGUAACGGAGGAGCACGAAGGUUGGCUAAUCCUGGUCGGACAUCAGGAGGUUAGUGCAAUGGCAUAAGCCAGCUUGACUGCGAGCGUGACGGCGCGAGCAGGUGCGAAAGCAGGUCAUAGUGAUCCGGUGGUUCUGAAUGGAAGGGCCAUCGCUCAACGGAUAAAAGGUACUCCGGGGAUAACAGGCUGAUACCGCCCAAGAGUUCAUAUCGACGGCGGUGUUUGGCACCUCGAUGUCGGCUCAUCACAUCCUGGGGCUGAAGUAGGUCCCAAGGGUAUGGCUGUUCGCCAUUUAAAGUGGUACGCGAGCUGGGUUUAGAACGUCGUGAGACAGUUCGGUCCCUAUCUGCCGUGGGCGCUGGAGAACUGAGGGGGGCUGCUCCUAGUACGAGAGGACCGGAGUGGACGCAUCACUGGUGUUCGGGUUGUCAUGCCAAUGGCACUGCCCGGUAGCUAAAUGCGGAAGAGAUAAGUGCUGAAAGCAUCUAAGCACGAAACUUGCCCCGAGAUGCGUUAUCCCUGACCCUUUCAGGGUUCUGAAGGAAAGUUUAAGACGACGACGUUGAUAGGCCGGGUGUGUAAGCGCAGCGAUGCGU
rnacentral:rRNA from 1 species